GACAGAGGGUGCAAACGUUGUUCGGAAUUACUGGGCGUAAAGCGUGCGCAGGCGGUUUUGUAAGCCAGAUGUGAAAUCCCCGGGCUUAACCUGGGAACUGCAUUUGGGACUGCAAGGCUUGAGUACGGCAGAGGGGGGUAGAAUUCCUGGUGUAGCAGUGAAAUGCGUAGAUAUCAGGAGGAAUACCGAUGGCGAAGGCAGCCCCCUGGGUCGAUACUGACGCUCAUGCACGAAAGCGUGGGGAGCAAACAGG
rnacentral:rRNA from 1 species